UGCUGACUCAUGUUCAACAUGCUAUUGACCAAGACCGGUAGAUCUUUUCCAGCAAGGCUGAUUUCCAGAGUCUCACAGAAUCAUAGAAUCAUUAAGGUUGGAAAAGACAUCUAAGAUCAUCCAGUCCAACUGUUCAUCUGCCACCAAUACUUCUCGCUAAACCAUGUCCCUGUGUACUACAUCUACCCUUUCCUUAAACACUUCCAGGGAUAGUGACUCCACUGCUUCCCUGUGCAACCUGUUCCAGUGCAUCACCACUCUUUCUGAGAAGAAAUUCUUCCUAAUAUCCAAUGUGAAUCUCCCUAGGCACUACAGCUGUGGGAGUGAUCCCACCAUGUUUCAGUAAUGGCAAACAAAUCACAGUUUGCCAGCAAUGCAAUGGCUUCCAGCUCCUCCUGUUUGUUGCCAGUUCUGCGUGAAUUGAUGUAGAUAUACUCCAUCUGAGCCAUUGGCCUCACUCUCAACCCUGGUAUUGUUCCCCCAGGUUCAUUACUAGCAAGCCUCAUUUCAUCCUCUUCCCCCUUCAUACCUAGUUUAACACUCUAAUUCCCCUAUCUAUAUGUAUAGCCAAGGUUGCUCCUUCCCAGGUGCUGAAGCCGGCACUUGUUAAAGUUCAUAAACUUGGUGACUAGCCAGCUCUGAAAUUUGUCUAGACCUUUCUGCCAGACCUCUCUACCCUCGACAUAGUCAUCUCCUCCCUCAUUAGUAUCAUCAGGAAAAUUGCUCAAAACACUUUCUAAUCCUGCAUCCAAGUCAUUUAUGAAAACUUUAAAGAGAACUGGUCCUAAAAUGGAGCCUUGGGGAACCUCACUAGUGACUAGCUACCAAUCUGAUGUAACUCCAUGUACAGCAACCCUAUGGACUCAACCCAUCAGCCAAUCUCAUGCAUCAUUAUACAUCCAGAAGCUACAUUUGAGUGAGUAGUGGCUUGAAAUACUUGAGACUUCCACCAACAAAAAGAAAGAUCUUUCUAUUAUGUUGCUUGUGCAAAUGGAGGACCUUUGAAACAGGUGAAUAACAAUGUCCAUGAUCUAUGUGUUGUAAAAGUGACAUUAAGAGGCACUAAGAGGCUCCAGUGCUCAGAGACUGCAUUCUGCAUAUGGCAAAGAUAGUCAGCUGCUGAUCAGACUUGCUAUAUUUAGGAGGUUUGUUUUCUAAGAUGUUGCAAAGAGAUUGUCAAAUCUGCAAUCUGAGGUCUUGCCGAGCUCUGAGUAUCAUCUCUGUCAGCCUUGUGAGCAUUAGCACUGUCAAGAGAGACUAGAGAGCUCUGGGAGCUGCAUGGAAGAGCACAGGAGCCCAGAUUGACUAUAGUAGGAGUGGAAACACGGAGUGCUUCAGCAUUUGGCUGCACAGCUGGUUUUGUAAGGAGGAUUUUGGCUUUUGUGACCACAGCACUGUGAGGAAGUAAGCCAAUUACAGCGAGGUGGUAUCUAUCUGAAAAAAAAAUGGGGCAUCUUUUUCAAGCUUACCUCAUGAGGAGGACUUCAGUCUAUCAGGGGAUAAAGCUCAAAGUCUGAAGAAACAGUGAAGAGAGAAAGAUGGGAAAGAGGGCCUGAAGUACAGUACAAUGGGGCAUGCUCACUCUUUCCCUGAAAACACAGCCCAGCUACAGAUCCAGUGUGAUGGGAAACUUUCCAAAUCCCCAGCACAAAGAAGCCUUGUGACAGCAAAUUCAAGUUCUCAUGCUGACAUACCUACUGUGAUGGGUGAAAGCAAUUCACCCACUAGGGCUAGUGACAAAAGAUAUGGGGAACACUGAAGUGCUGGGUGAUGUCUUUGCCUCAGUCUUUAACUGGUCAUAUCUACUCCCAUAUCUUGGUCCCUCCCAGACCUCUGUGCUAUUUACAGAGUCUGAGGAAGCUAAGUGUUAGCUGUCAUAAUGGAAAAGUGAGCUGUUAUCAACAGGCAAGCUGGACAUUUACACGCGUUCAGUUCUGCAGAGACAGUUGGCCACUAUAAUUGCAGGGCUGCUUGCUCCCAUCUUUGAAAUGUUGCGGUGAACAGGCAAAAUUUCUGCUGACUGAACACUAAUGUCACCAAUGUCUGGAGGAAGGCUAAGAAAGAGCACUGUAGGAACUACAAGUCAGUCAGCCUCACACAGGUGCAAGGGAAAAUUAUGGAGCAUGGAUAUAACUUUCUAGCACAUGAAGGAGAACAUGAUUUGGAACAGUCAGUGUGGAUUUAUCAGAACAAAACAUAAUUGACAAACCCACUUGCCUUCUUUAAUGACUUGGCUGGCGUUGCCAGGUAAUGGGAGAACAGUGAAUGAUGUUUACCUCAGAUUUAGGUGAUGCAACAGUAUGCUCUGGGACCAAAGGCACUGUCUUCACGCAUUUCAAGUGUUGUGAAAGGUACAGAAAAGGAUGAGAUUAUACGUUUGCAUCAGUUCUGCCUUUGUGAGCAAUAACUGCACAGAGUCCUUCUACACAUGCUGCCUCCUGCCACACCUCCCUGGAUCUGUUUUCAAUGACCUAUACUGCAAGCUGAAAGGAAAAUGUUAUAGUUAUGCAAAUAUUGAGAUUUGCUAAUGCAGAACACACUGCUGGACCCCACCAGCCACCUCAUGAGUGGAACUGUCACUGCUGAAUUCACAUUGUCUUAAUAUGGAAUAUGUCAAUAUCAAAGCAAGGAAUCAAAUACCAUAUUUAAAGGAAAUAUAUGAACUCGUCUUAAUUUUUCAGUCUGAUGAGGUGUUAGAAUGGAAGGAAACAGCUGCGAGACCUUGGGCUGUUCAGCCCGGAGAAGACACAGUAUAAACAAGAAAGCUACUACACGGCUAUGAUUAGUUACAGAUUUGUUGUUCCUUCAGAAUGCCAGUGCUAAAAUAAUGUUCACAUGAGCUGAUGAAUGGCUCACCUCAAUGAAAGUUUGCUUAUCAUGAACAAAUACUGUUGAUUAGAGAAGACACCUACUUCUAAACGGUGUUCUAGCUUAGAACAAUAAAGAGAACAUGGUUUUGUAAAAAAAUAUUUGUAAAACUAAAUAUAAGUUUAAGAACUAAAAGAAUUCCCUUCUACUAAACAUAAUGAUGGAAAUUCAGCUUCCUUUAGCACAUGUUCCUUUCUGGUACUACACAUGGUAUAUUAUGUGAUUUUAGCAGAGGAAACAAGAGUUAGUCAGUUCUAUUUUAGUCCAAGUACUGAAGUGGAAAUUAUAUAAUGACGGAUUUUGUGAAUACAACUUCUAAACAAACUCAUGAUUGCAACUCUAUCAGAAAUUCAAUGCAGAGGAAUGCAGUGAUAGUUGUAUAUAGAAAAGUUGUAAUGAUGAAUUACCCUACCAUUAAGGAACAUGUGUGCAUCAUGGAAUCUUCCAUGAAUAGCAUGAGGUAUAAAAUGGAUAAAAUAGAUAUCAAGCCAUAUUUUGUUAUCCCAAUUUCCUAGAGAAAGGAAGCUAUUUUUCGUUGGGCUAUUGGCCCAUCUAUUCCAUCACAAAGACAAGAAAAAGGACACUGAAAGUAAUUUAAGCAAAUUCAACAGUUGAUUUGAGAGUAACAAAUUUAUUCAGAAUUUGUACAAGUUGAUAAGUAGACAGUGAUCCACAUUUAUAUACCUAUCAGCAGAAGAGCAGUUAUAACAUAAUUGCAUACCCAUUUACCAGCAGCUUGAUCAAUUAGAUCAAGAAAAUUGGUCAGUGUGUCAGCCAACAAGAAGCUUGCAACCGAACAUACUAUUUGUAGCAAUAUAACCUGCAAAACAGACAUGGAUAUGGGAAAAACAAAUGGGAAGACUGUUGGGUGUUUGCUGUCAAAAGCAUUACAAAUUUUACUGAAUGUCAUGGAGUUCUAGGCUAAAGUUCUAUUUUAUUUAUUUAUUUAUUCUUAAUUAAAGGCAU
ensembl:lncRNA